rnacentral:rRNA from 1 species
CCAGCAGCUGCGGUAAUUCCAGCUCCAAUAGCGUAUAUUAAAGUUGUUGCAGUUAAAAAGCUCGUAGUUGAAUUUCGGGACAAGUUGCAAGAGCAUCCGAUUGGAUGCAUCUUGUACACUCAUCCCUACCUUCUGGCAAGCUACGGUGCUCUUCACUGAGUGCCGUAGGGAGCCAGGACUUUUACUUUGAGAAAAUUAGAGUGUUUAAUGCAGGCUUACGCUUGAAUACAUUAGCAUGGAAUAAUGGAAUAGGACUUUGGUUCUAUUUUGUUGGUUUCUAGGACCAAGGUAAUGAUUAAUAGGGACAGUUGGGGGUAUUAGUAUUGAGUUGUCAGAGGUGAAAUUCUUGGAUUUACUCAAGGCUAACUAAUGCGAAAGCAUUUACCAAGGAUGUUUUCAUUAAUCAAGAACGAAAGU